rnacentral:rRNA from 1 species
GACGAACGCUGGCGGCGUGCUUAACACAUGCAAGUCGAGCGGAGCGGCGAACGGGUGAGUAACGCGUGAGUAACUGCCCCCCUCUCUGGGAUAACAGUUGGAAACGGCUGCUAAUACCGGAUAGUGGGGGAUGACUCGCGUCCUAUCAGCUUGUUGGUGGGGUAGUGGCCUACCAAGGCGACGACGGGUAGCCGGCCUGAGAGGGCGACCGGCCACAUUGGGCUGAGAUACGGCCCAAACUCCUAGGGGGGGCAGCAGUGGCAAGGCGUAGAAGAUAGGGAGAGUUUGGACACAGCAAAGCGGGCGGGGGAUGCCAGACUAAAGGUUGUAACCAGCUAUCGGCGAAGAAGCGGUAGUUGCAGAAGAAGCACCGGCUAACUACGGGCCAGCAGCCGCGGUAAUAC